rnacentral:rRNA from 1 species
AUGAACGCUGGCGGCGUGCCUAAUCCAUGCACGUCGAGCGAACAGACGAGGAGCUUGCUCCUCUGACGUUAGCGGCGGACGGGUGAGUAACACGUGGAUAACCUACCUAUAAGACUGGGAUAACUUCGGGAAACCGGAGCUAAUACCGGAUAAUAUAUUGAACCGCAUGGUUCAAUAGUGAAAGACGGUUUUGCUGUCACUUAUAGAUUGAUCCGCGCCGCAUUAGCUAGUUGGUAAGGUAACGGCUUACCAAGGCAACGAUGCGUAGCCGACCUGAGAGGGUGAUCGGCCACACUGGAACUGAGACACGGUCCAGACUCCUACGGGAGGCAGCAGUAGGGAAUCUUCCGCAAUGGGCGAAAGCUUGACGGAGCAACGCCGCGUGAGUGAUGAAGGUCUUCGGAUCGUAAAACUCUGUUAUUAGGGAAGAACAAAUGUGUAAGUAACUAUGCACGUCUUGACGGUACCUAAUCAGAAAGCCACGGCUAACUACGUG